rnacentral:rRNA from 1 species
GACGAACGCUGGCGGCGUGCUUAACACAUGCAAGUCGAACGAAGUGGCGAACGGGUGAGUAAUACGUGAGUAACCUGCCCUCCUUUUUGGGAUAAGCCUUGGAAACGGGGUCUAAUACCGAAUAAAGGGGGAUGGGCUCGCGGCCUAUCAGCUUGUUGGUGGGGUGAUGGCCUACCAAGGCGGUGACGGGUCGCCGGCCUGAGAGGGUGACCGGGGACAGUGGGACGGGGAUACGGGCCAGAGGACUGCGGGAGGGAGCAGUGGUGGAUAAUGCACAAUGGGCGAAAGACGGAAGCAGCGGUGCAGCGUGGGGGAUGAAGGAUUUCGGGUUGUAAAACUCUGUCGCUAACGAAAGGGUAGGUGGAGAAGAAGCGCCGGCUAACUACGUGCCAGCAGCCGCGGUAAUUC